GAUGAACGCUAGCUACAGGCUUAACACAUGCAAGUCGAGGGGCAGCGGGAUUGAAGCUUGCUUCAAUUGCCGGCGACCGGCGCACGGGUGAGUAACGCGUAUCCAACCUUCCGCUUACUCGGGGAUAGCCUUUCGAAAGUAAGAUUAAUGCCCGGUGUUCCGCGAGGGCCGCAUGGCCUUUUCGGCUAAAGUUUUUUUACGGUAUGAGAUGGCGGUGCGUCCCAUUAGCUUGUUGGCGGGGUAACGGCCCACCAAGGCGACGAUGGGUAGGGGUUCUGAGAGGAAGGUCCCCCACAUUGGAACUGAGACACGGUCCAA
rnacentral:rRNA from 1 species